rnacentral:misc_RNA from 1 species
GUGAAUCAUCAAAUUUUUGAACGCAAAUUGCACUCUCUUCGGUGAGUAUGCCUGUUUGAGGGUCAGCCUCAGUAGAUUCGACAUCGUCGCUGUUUCGCGGUGAUAUUCGUCGGAAAUUGGGUUAUCUUAUACCUUUUGUUUUUAAGCGGCUUACAAUUUUCUUUACGAUUCUACUAACGUUUUUAAGAUUUAUUUACACGUUUAAGGUAUCGAACUCUAUCAGCC